AAACCCUCUCAUUCUGAUUCUUUAUUAAGUUAAAGGGUUGGUGAUGGAUGUUGAGUGUUGCCGUAUUUGGCUCGCUUUAAAUACAUAAGUACUUUUGUUGACAAAUGAAAAUGGAUAUAUACUUGGUGUGAUAUUAUUANCAAAUCAUUGAGGAGUGUAGUUAACUCUGCAGCCAUUUUUGUAUAUGUUGAUGGAUAGCUUCCUAACCCCAUUUAAUUUAAUUA
rnacentral:misc_RNA from 1 species